rnacentral:rRNA from 1 species
UACGAAGGGGGCUAGCGUUGCUCGGAAUCACUGGGCGUAAAGCGCACGUAGGCGGCUUAGCAAGUCGGAUGUGAAAUCCCUCGGCUUAACCAAGGAAGUGCAUCCGAAACUGCUGAGCUUGAGUACUAAAGAGGAUCGCGGAAUUCCCGGUGUAGUGGUGAAAUGCGUAGAUAUCGGGAGGAACUCCAGUGGCGAAGGCGACUUUCUGGCCUGUUCUUGACGCUGAGGCGCGAAAGCUAGGGGAGCAAACGGG